ensembl:lncRNA
GCACCAUGGAAGCACUCCAACUCCUCUGGAGCCGGGCCCCCCACAAUCAUCAGGCAUUAUAAAGAGUGAGACACAUCGAGUGCAACUGGGAUAACACACUUUUUUUUUUUAAUUGACAUCUCCGGUUGGACAACAGAUUGCAGACGGGGGAGAAACGCAGCCCUCUAUUUGGCCGCCUCCCCUCUGCAGUCCUUCAUUAUUUGAGGGCAUUAAAACCAAAUGAAUGUCUCCCAGACGGGAACUAAUCCCUAUGGCCUGGUGCUCCGUCUUGGCACCACCACCUUUGAUUAUUCAACAUCAAUCUGCCACAGAGAGAAUGAAAGGAGCACAAUCCGAUUAGUGACAGGUACACUCUCUGAGAUAACAGCAUUUGCUCCCUGAAGACGAAGCCAUCUGCUGGCCCUGGACAUGCUCUCCUCAUCCAUUCAUCCCCACCCAUCCCACCAGUGGUUUCCUAAUCAUUUCUGACAAGCCUCCCUUUGAUUAUUUAGAAACACUGAAGGACAAAAGUAGGGGGUUGACCUGUAGAUUGGAGCCAUCCUUCUCCCAAUCCCUCCUAUUAGCACCUCAAGGCCUUUCCUCAUCAAGCGAGUGGUGGAUUUCAUCUGGUAUUGUGCUGACAGCUCAUAGAUUAGACCCUCAAUCUCAACUACCUCCUCCCUCCCUCACCACCUCUGUCUACCUCUCCAUUGAGAGCUCCAAUCAUUCUUCUCUGGCUAAGUGUCAAUAAACCCACCCACACACACACACACAGGAUCUGAUUCCAGCCCAGGCUCAUUCAGCACUUUGUAGAAAAUGACAAAGUAAAAACUAUUAUAUUUCAAUUUAACAAUACAUUAACUUAAGCAAGAGUUUUAUUAGGGUCUAUUAAAAUGCUAUAUGCCUUGACUGGUAUUUGGAAUGUAGAGGAGUUUAUGAAGUGAAACCUGAUAUAAUUCAAGUGGCUUUUCCUCACCCUCAAAAACCAUUAAAAAAAGCAACAUACUGUAUUUCCCUUAGGAGCUGUUUUGCCAGUUUCGAGUGUCAUAAAAUAGUAGCACUGUGUCAACAAGGAGGUAAAAGGGAGGUGGAGAGCUAAAAUGGAUUAGCGUGGACAGGCCAUCAGGACUAUAGAUGAGUCUCCCAGAAGUGUUUAAAGCACCUGAGAAAUGCUUUCCGUUGUUAUCUACAGGGUAGUCGGAGCCUAUCAAAUGUGAUGAACUCUGACAGAAAAUCAGUGGUCACUGAGCUACUAAAGAAAGCCCCACCUCCC